AGAGAGAGAGAGAUGAGGAUAACAUGGUGAGGAGAAAGAGCUAGAAGGAGGCUAUGAGACAAGCAAACGCAGCAGCUGAACGAGAUCGUAACGGGGAUGGCACGGCAUUGAGAGAGAAGCCGUAGAAAGCCACUGGAGAGAGAACGAGCAGAAGAGAGAGAGACGCCUCGCUCGCAAUGAAGUGCUUGCCACACAAGCAGCGAUGACAGGUCGACACAACGAUGGGAUCCAACCUCCGCGCGCGGGCGUCGCCGCGUGGACCCGGCCCGGCCUGUUUGGUGACUUCUAGAUAAACUUGGUCAGCCCUGCCCCGGCCCCCUAGCGGCCGGCGACGAAACUCACACUCUCGAAUGUCUGCCACACAACUUUGCGAUGGUACUGCCCCCACCUCCCUAGGUGCCUACCAUGGAGACACGGGUAACGGGGAAUCAGGGUUCGAUUCGCGGAGAGGGACCUGAAGAAAUGGCUACCCACAUCCAAGGAAGGCGCAGGCGCGCCAAUUACCACACACAACAAACUCACCGACUCGGUGGAGGUAUCGACACACGAAAAAUAACAAAUACAGGACUCUUUUCCGAGCCCUGUAAUUGGAAUGAGUGUACUUUAAAUCCUUUGGCUCAGUACCAAUUGGGAGGCAAGUCGGGCCAGCACGCGGUACACUCUCAAUCACAACCCGCAACAUCCUUAAAGUUCUGCAGUAAAAAAAGCUCGUAGUUUGGAUCUCGGGGCCGGGCUGACGGUCCGCCGAAAGGCGUGCCACCGGACUGGUCCCGGCCCCUGCCCUCCGGCUCACCACGCACACUCUUGUUGAGUGUUCUUGCCGGGGUUCGAGCGUUACUUUGAACCCACUUAGAGUGUUCAAAGCAGGCCCAGUUGCACGAAUACUGCAGCUAGGAAUAAUGGAAUAGGACUCCGGUUCUAUUUCUAUCACAGCUUCUCUCAUCACGAGACGACUGGGCCAUGAUUAGAGGGACGGCCGGGGCAUCAUCGUAUUGCGCCGCUCACGGAUUCUCAUUCAGGACCGGGCGCAAGAACGGACGAGAAGCGAAAGGCAUUUGCCAAGAAUGUUUGUCAUUAAUCAAGAACGAAAGUCGGAGGUUUCGAAACGAUCAGAUACCGUCGUAGUUCCGCCAUAAACGAUGCCGACUAGCGAUCCGGCGGCGUAUUCAUGACCCGCCGGGAGGCUACCCGGGAAACCAAAGUCUGGGUUCCGGGGGAGGUAAUGGUUGCAAAAGCUAAACUUUAACAGGGAAUUGACGGAAGGGCACCAUACCAGGGUGGAGCCUCCAGCACUUAAUUUGACUCACACGGGAAACCCACCCCCCACACUGGAAAGGAUUGACAGUUGAUCAGCUCUUUCUCGAUACUUGUGGGUGUGGUGCAUGGCCGUCGUAGUUGUGGAGACGAUCAUGCCAACACGAACACCACGAACGAGACUCCUGCAAGGCUAAAAUAGUCGCCGCCCCCGUGCGGUCGGCGCCAGAAACUUCUUAGAGGGACAAUGGCGUACAGCCACACGAGAUUUGAAGCCUAUCCAGGUCUGUGAUGCCCUUAGUUCCGGGGCUGCACGCGCGCCACACUGAGCGGAUCAGCCGUGUGCCUCCCUUCGGCACGAGCAAACCGUCCGGUACCCCUCGAACCCCGCUCGUGAUGGGAUUGGGGAUUGCAAACUAUUUCCAUGAAGCGACGAAUUCCCAGUAAGCAGGUCCACAAGCUCGUGUUGAUUAAGUCCACCCUGCCCUUUGUACACACCGCCCGUCGCUACACCGAUUGUGCUUAGGUGGGUUAUCGACGACGGACCCCGCCGGAGUCUCACGCAUCUGCACGGCACAGAAAGACGAUCAAACUUGACUAUCUAAGAGGAAGUAAAAGUCGUAACAAGGUUUUUCCGGU
rnacentral:rRNA from 1 species